GGCUAGGUGGUGGAAUGGCAGACACACAGGAUUUAAAAUCCUGAGAGGGGUUUCCCUCGUGCGGGUUCGAGUCCCGCCCUAGCUAC
rnacentral:tRNA from 1 species